rnacentral:lncRNA from 1 species
AUAGCGGAACGCUUCAAAAGCCUCCUCGUAUCCGUAAGGAGCCAUUUAAUGAACGGCAGAACGGAGCGGUGAAAGAAAAAAACUUUAACUGCACUAUGCCCAAAGUUGAGCUAAAAUGUCAAACAAAGUGGAAUGGAAAUGUGAACAAUAAUGAGAAUAAAAUAAGAAUAAAAUAUGGUACGAGGCUCUUCUAAAAGUUUUUCAAUUGCGGUGACAAAAAAGGAAGAAGAAGACUUUUCUUUGGUCCCGUCCUUAAAUUGUUUAUUUAUAUCACGGACAGGUAGAAAGUACUGGAGCAAGCAAAAUAACAACGUUUCGGUCCUUUUUGGACCUUCUUCAGGUUAGCUUGCACGAAAUUACCUUCAAGUUAGCAACAAAAUGGCGUGGGUGCUCACCGGUCAAAGUAUCCCCGUUUACUGAGCGGUCUGAAAAGUUUCUUGCUCUGGGUUUUAUUGAAUUUGUUGAUCCCUGAGAGCACCCCUAAUGGCCACGCCGGGAACUGCGAGGCCUCAAAUCGCAGUCCGGGAGGGUGAAAUGGCAGAAUUAUAAGUGUGAAAAACGACUGUAAACAUUAUGCAAGAAUGGAAUCCAGAUAAAAUAUCAAUCCACACAAAUAUACAAUAAAAUUAAAUUAUUGGUAAAACAGUAUGCAGAUUAUUCUAUUAAUUUUAAACAUUUCUUUACUCAGGAACCUGGAAUAAGUGGGGAGCAAACAUUCUCCCAAGGGGGACGAGGGGAGCAGCCAGGGGACGCGGAGACCCACCAGACCCACCUGCAGGCACUGGCUGGGUUAGAAAAGAAAAGAUUGGAUCCCGCCAUCCCGAAGGGAUGGAGGGAUCAGAUGCACUCUCCAUCCAGGCAGGGACCUGGAACGAGUUGGGAGGAAACAUUCUCCCAAGGGGGACGAGGGGAGCAGCCAGGGGAAGCGGAAACCCACCAGACCCACCUGCAGGCACUGGCUGGGUUAGAAAAUAAAAGAUUGGAUCCCCCCAUCCAGAACAGAUGGAGGGAUCAGAUGCACUCUCCAUCCAGGGACCUGGAACGAGUUGGGAGGAAACAUUCUCCCAAGGGGGACGAGGGGAGCAGCCAGGGGAAGCGGAAACCCACCAGACCCACCUGCAGGCACUGGCUGGGUUAGAAAAUAAAAGAUUG